CCGGAGGCAGACCCGUAUACUCGUAUAUCGGAGGAUGAAGCAUGCUAAUAUUUUGUUGCAUUUGAGGUAUUCACGCAAUUCACGCAAUUCACGCAAAGGUUAUAAAUUUUAUAGCUAGAAAUACAUAAAUAUACAUACAAAGAAGAAUUUUAUCUUGUGGACCCCUAAAAGUGUACUGUCCUGUUCUACGAGAUUUUUCUGCGCAUGCGUUUCGCAGCCUCUGAUAUGUGCGCGACCUUGCAUAAUAAAACUUAUGUGUUGUAUAGAGGAAGUUUUCUAUGUAUUUGUAAUUUGAAGCGUAGUGUUGCGACUCCGGUAAAUUCGUUACGAGAAACGGGCCUUAUGGAAAAUUACAGAGUCCGUUAUGAGCAGCAAGGGACAGUUCACAAUCCCUUGAUCACUAAGGAUGAAUGAAUGAGUUACUCUUAUAACAGAAAUGGAUCGUUCUCGAAUAUUAAAUGAAAUUUAAAAUGUCAUUGCACUUGUCGGUAAGUGGACAACUUUUUAAAACUUUUAUAAUUUCCAAGUACAUAUAUCUAAUCACGAUCAAUGAUUGUAUUUUUAAAAUGUUUAUAUUCAAAGACUGGACCAAUAAAUAGGAAAGAAUAGCA